rnacentral:rRNA from 1 species
CGGAGUGGACGCAUCACUGGUGUUCGGGUUGUCAUGCCAAUGGCACUGCCCGGUAGCUAAAUGCGGAAGAGAUAAGUGCUGAAAGCAUCUAAGCACGAAACUUGUCCCGAGAUGAGUUCUCCCUGACUCCUUGAGAGUCCUGAAGGAACGUUGAAGACGACGACGUUGAUAGGCCGGGUGUGUAAGCGCAGCGAUGCGUUGAGCUAACCGGUACUAAUGAACCGUGAGGCUUAACCUUACAACGCCGAAGCUGUU